rnacentral:rRNA from 1 species
GAUGAACGCUAGCUACAGGCUUAACACAUGCAAGUCGAGGGGCAGCAUGGACAUAGCCUGCUAUGUUUGAUGGCGACCGGCGCACGGGUGCGUAACACGUAUCCAAUCUGCCCGUUACUCGGGGAUAGCCUUCUGAAAGGAAGAUUAAUACCCGAUGGCAUGUAUUUCCGGCAUCGGAGAUACAUUAAAGAUUUAUCGGUAACGGAUGAGGAUGCGUACGAUUAGAUUGUUGGCGGGGCAACGGCCCACCAAGUCUGCGAUCAGUAGGGGUUCUGAGAGGAAGGUCCCCCACAUUGGAACUGAGACACGGUCCAAACUCCUACGGGAGCAGCAGUGAGGAAUAUUGGUCAAUGGGCGAGAGCCUGAACCAGCCAAGUAGCGUGCAGGACGACGGCCCUAUGGGUUGUAAACUGCUUUUGUAUGGGAAUAAAGUGCUCCACGUGUGGAGUUUUGUAGGUACCAUACGAAUAAGGACCGGCUAAUUCCGUGCC